AACGAACGCUGGCGGCAUGCCUAACACAUGCAAGUCGAACGAGACCUUCGGGUCUAGUGUCGCACGGGUGCGUAACGCGUGGGAACCUGCCCUUAGGUUCGGAAUAACUCCCCGAAAGGGGUGCUAAUACCGGAUAAUGUCUUCGGACCAAAGAUUUAUCGCCUUUGGAUGGGCCCGCGUUGGAUUAGCUAGUUGGUAGGGUAAAAGCCUACCAAGGCGACGAUCCAUAGCUGGUCUGAGAGGAUGAUCAGCCACACUGGGACUGAGACACGGCCCAGACUCCUACGGGAGGCAGCAGUGGGGAAUAGUGGAAAAUGGGCGAAAGCCUGAUCCAGCAAUGCCGCGUGAGUGAUGAAGGCCUUAGGGUUGUAAAGCUCUUUUAACCGGGAUGAUAAUGACAGUACCGGGAGAAUAAGCUCCGGCUAACUCCGUG
rnacentral:rRNA from 1 species